GUUGCUUCUUACUGGUGAACCCCUUCAUAAUUGAAAUGAAGGUUGUUCUAGUUUCCGGGGCAUAGAUCAAAUGGCAGUAUUAAACAGCAUGGUGCAUAUCCAGUUGCAUAUUGCUACCUGUCUCCUGCAACAGAU
rnacentral:snoRNA from 1 species